CGGAGGGUGCAAGCGUUAUCCGGAUUCACUGGGUUUAAAGGGUGCGUAGGUGGCAGGUAAGUCAGUGGUGAAAUCCCCGAGCUUAACUUGGGAACUGCCGUUGAUACUAUCUGUCUUGAAUAUCGUGGAGGUUAGCGGAAUAUGUCAUGUAGCGGUGAAAUGCUUAGAGAUGACAUAGAACACCAAUUGCGAAGGCAGCUGGCUACACGGUAAUUGACACUGAGGCACGAAAGCGUGGGAGCAAACAGGAUU
rnacentral:rRNA from 1 species